CACAAAAGUAAGGUUGGGAUUGAUUUUGGGGGUUAUGGUCCCAACGGUUUGGAAAUUAGGGGCCAAAAGGUGCCCAAGACAAGUAUCUAGUUUCAGGACAAUAAGUUGUGUAUAAGUAUUUUAAUUGCUCUGAUAUUGUACCACAAUGGUCAUACUAUAAAGUAGAAGGUUGAGAUUUAUUUUAAGGGUUGUGAGGCAAACAGUCUAGGAAUUAAGUGCCAGAAAGGGGUCAAAAACAAGCAUUUUUGUAGUUUCAGAACAAUAACUUAUGUAUAACUGUAUGGAUAUCUCUGACUUUGUACCACAAGGUUCCAUAUAACGAAGGGAAGGCUUUAAUUUAGUUUGGGGUUAAUAUCCCUGAACAUUUAGGAAUAAGGGGCCAAAAAGAUGCAUUUUUCAAGAUUACAGGCAAAAAAUUGGGUUUAACUGAAUGGAUCUCUCUUUAAUUAUGCUACAAGGUUUCUUACUACAAAGGAAAGGCUGGAAUUGAGUUUUGGGGUUCAUGGUCCAAGGUUGGA
rnacentral:lncRNA from 1 species